GACGAACGCUGGCGGCGUGCUUAACACAUGCAAGUCGAACGGAAAGGCCCUGCUUUUGUGGGGUGCUCGAGUGGCGAACGGGUGAGUAACACGUGAGUAACCUGCCCUUGACUUUGGGAUAACUUCAUGAAACUGGGGCUAAUACCGGAUAGGAGCUCCUGCUGCAUGGUGGGGGUUGGUUAGUUUCGGCGGUUGGGGAUGGACUCGCGGCUUAUCAGCUUGUUUGUGGGGUAGUGGCUUACCAAGGCUUUGACGGGUAGCCGGCCUGAGAGGGUCACCGGCCACAUUGGGACUGAGAUACGGCCCAGACUCCUACGGGAGGCAGGAGUGGGGAAUAUAGCACAAUGGGCGGAAGGCUGAUGCAGAAAAGCAGCGUGGGGGAUGAAGGCAUUGGGGUUGUAAACCACUUUCGCAUGUGACGAAGCGUGAGUGACGGUAAUGGGUAAAGAAGCACCGGCUAACUACGUG
rnacentral:rRNA from 1 species